UUUAGGAUCCCUUUUGGAAUAUACCACUCGUAGGAGGUCCUCUUCGUCCGGCACUUGGGGUACUCGUGGUCGCCGGGCAGCACUUUGAAGGAGAUGGGGACGCGGUCGGCCCUCCGGUUGGCGCAGAAGGCAUCCCACACGGCCCGGUGCACGGCGUUGUACACCACGUCCAGGCCGGUGAGGGUGACGAAGGCCAUAGGCCGGCAGCAU
rnacentral:lncRNA from 1 species